AUUUUAAAUCAGUGCUAUUGGUCAGCGUUAUGUCUGUUUGUGGGGUUUACAAAUAUUAACCAAUGAAAAGCAUUCAAAAGAGCUUGUGACUUAACCUCGUAACGCCAUUGGAUCCUCAAAUUGUCAGUCAAACCUCAUAACUCCACCCCGCCACCAUUCAGAAUGAAGCGCCGCGCAGUUUGAAGCAGACGUCUACUUCUUCACAAUGCAAGGACAGUUCAUGAAGACAGAGAUGUGACAACCUCUGGACUGAAGUCCACCUGCCACAUCAGACUCUCUGCUGUAUAUGGAGGCCUUUAUGUGUGUACUUUUCAUUAUUGUGCAUGCAGACAUUAUUCAGUUUCACAGAUGUUUACGCUGGGUGGCCUGGAAGGACACAUGAUGCUAGGGUACUGGCAAAUUCCGAUAUUUAUUGUCUUGCUGAACAUCGACAGGGUGCUUAUCUUUAUGCAAGAGAGGUGAGAGAAGUGCUUGCAAAAUAGCCUGUGACAAUUUGGGAACUGUUGGCAAGAAUGGAGCACACAUUAUCUGUUUUAAUUAUUUGCUAGAAUAAUUUAUAUUUAAUAUUCAUGCU